CUGGAAGCCCCAUUGCUUCCAACAGGCACUACACUAUCGGAUCUCAGUAGCCCAUCCAGCUGAAAGGGCUUCUUCUUCACACAAUUUUAUUUGACCCUGGCAAGCAAUGGUGAAGGUGUGAAGAGAAAGCAAUCUGAGCCAGAACAUACACAGCGGUAAUUUCUUAGCUACAAGGAGUUGAGGAGAGAUGAACCCAUCCUAUCCACAUCUUACAUGCUGUCUCAUUCACUGAUGAAUGGGCUCUGCAUAUUGGCAUGUAUUUGCUGACCACUGCUUGUGAAGACGCAGCUGUUAUUUUUUAGACAAUAUGUAAUGUUUUUUCUUCUCUUGGACCAUUGCCAGGUAAAGCAUCAUGUCUUUUGAGGGAACAGAAUCUUUAUUAAUGAUUAGUAAAGAAGGCUGGUAAAUGCACGCAAAGUCCCAAACAUUUAUGGCAUGGUACCCUUCCUAAGUAUGAAUAAAUCUAAAAUGCAU
rnacentral:lncRNA from 1 species